CUUCACUUUAACAGGGAGUCUCAUCUCUGAAGAACAGCAUUCUGGAUAUGAAGAUGCUGAUGAACCUUUGUCAGAAUCCAUAACUGAAUAUGAUAAUGAUGUCCCCACCUGCAGUGACAUAAAAGCAGAACAGAAAUUCACACCAGGAUACUAUAAUGAUGUCAUCACUGAUGGACUGUCAGCAGAUUGUCAGACAGCAGACGUGCCAGAGAAUUAUGAUGAUGUCAUCAUUAUCAGACAGAACAUUCAAGGUAUAAAUGAGGACGUGCCAGAGAAUUAUGAUGAUGUCAUCCCUAUUAGAAAGAACAUUGGAGGUAUAA